rnacentral:rRNA from 1 species
GACGAACGCUGGCGGCGUGCUUAACACAUGCAAGUCGAGCGGUGCGGCGAACGGGUGAGUAACGCGUGAGUAACUGCCCCCCUCUCUGGGAUAACAGUUGGGAACGGCUGCUAAUACCGGAUAGUGGGGGCUGACUCGCGUCCUAUCGGCUUGUUGGUGGGGUAGUGGCCUACCAAGGCGACGACGGGUAGCCGGCCUGAGAGGUCGACCGGCAACAUUGGGCUGAAAUACGUCCCAAACUACUACGGGAGGCAGCAGGGGGGAAUAUGGCACAAGGGGGGAAACCCUGAUGCAGCAACGCCGCGUGCGUGAUGACGGCCUGCGGGUUGUAAGCCGCUUUCAGCCAUGACGCGGUAGUGGCAGAAGAAGCACCGGCUAACUACGUGCCAGCAGCCGCGGUAAUAC